rnacentral:rRNA from 1 species
UACGAAGGGGGCUAGCGUUGCUCGGAAUCACUGGGCGUAAAGCGCACGUAGGCGGCUUUUUAAGUCAGGGGUGAAAUCCUGGAGCUCAACUCCAGAACUGCCUUUGAUACUGAGAGCUUGAGUCCGGGAGAGGUGAGUGGAACUGCGAGUGUAGAGGUGAAAUUCGUAGAUAUUCGCAAGAACACCAGUGGCGAAGGCGGCUCACUGGUCCGGUACUGACGCUGAGGUGCGAAAGCGUGGGGAGCAAACAGG